rnacentral:rRNA from 1 species
CCCUGAGUAGCGGCGAGCGAAACGGGAAGAGCCCAAACCAACAAGCUUGCUUGUUGGGGUUGUAGGACACUCUAUACGGAGUUACAAAAGAACAUGUUAGACGAAUCAUCUGGAAAGAUGAAUCAAAGAAGGUAAUAAUCCUGUAGUCGAAAACAUAUUCUCUCUUGAGUGGAUCCUGAGUACGACGGAGCACGUGAAAUUCCGUCGGAAUCUAGGAGGACCAUCUCCUAAGGCUAAAUACUCUCUAGUGACCGAUAGUGAACCAGUACCGUGAGGGAAAGGUGAAAAG